GGCAACUUGGCCGAGUGGUCUAAGGCGCUGGAAUUAGGAUUCUUUCCUCUAUCCAGUCCGCAAGGGCGUGAGUUCGAACCUCACAGUUGUCA
rnacentral:tRNA from 1 species